CCUAAACAAGAUUUGAACACCAUCAAUUCCUGCUAACAAAAUAUUAGAUAUAUAGUCCAAUACUUUCGUUUUAAUUCAUAACUACUAUUACUAUUGUUGCUGCUACUACUGCUAUUACAACUAAUUAUUUAUAACUCAAUAAUUCAGGAACUUGCGUCCAUAUAUUUUAGAUACGCACUCAAAGUAUCGAACCUCUGACCUAUCGAACCUCUGACCUUUUAGCCAGCGAGGUACUAAC
rnacentral:lncRNA from 1 species